AUGCAAGUCGAACGCUUCUUUUUCCACCGGAGCUUGCUCCACCGGAAAAAGAGGAGUGGCGAACGGGUGAGUAACACGUGGGUAACCUGCCCAUCAGAAGGGGAUAACACUUGGAAACAGGUGCUAAUACCGUAUAACAAUCAAAACCGCAUGGUUUUGAUUUGAAAGGCGCUUUCGGGUGUCGCUGAUGGAUGGACCCGCGGUGCAUUAGCUAGUUGGUGAGGUAACGGCUCACCAAGGCCACGAUGCAUAGCCGACCUGAGAGGGUGAUCGGCCACAUUGGGACUGAGACACGGCCCAAACUCCUACGGGAGGCAGCAGUAGGGAAUCUUCGGCAAUGGACGAAAGUCUGACCGAGCAACGCCGCGUGAGUGAAGAAGGUUUUCGGAUCGUAAAACUCUGUUGUUAGAGAAGAACAAGGAUGAGAGUAACUGUUCAUCCCUUGACGGUAUCUAACCAGAAAGCCACGGCUAACUACGUGCCAGCAGCCGCGGUAAUACGUAGGUGGCAAGCGUUGUCCGGAUUUAUUGGGCGUAAAGCGAGCGCAGGCGGUUUCUUAAGUCUGAUGUGAAAGCCCCCGGCUCAACCGGGGAGGGUCAUUGGAAACUGGGAGACUUGAGUGCAGAAGAGGAGAGUGGAAUUCCAUGUGUAGCGGUGAAAUGCGUAGAUAUAUGGAGGAACACCAGUGGCGAAGGCGGCUCUCUGGUCUGUAACUGACGCUGAGGCUCGAAAGCGUGGGGAGCAAACAGGAUUAGAUACCCUGGUAGUCCACGCCGUAAACGAUGAGUGCUAAGUGUUGGAGGGUUUCCGCCCUUCAGUGCUGCAGCUAACGCAUUAAGCACUCCGCCUGGGGAGUACGACCGCAAGGUUGAAACUCAAAGGAAUUGACGGGGGCCCGCACAAGCGGUGGAGCAUGUGGUUUAAUUCGAAGCAACGCGAAGAACCUUACCAGGUCUUGACAUCCUUUGACCACUCUAGAGAUAGAGCUUCCCCUUCGGGGGCAAAGUGACAGGUGGUGCAUGGUUGUCGUCAGCUCGUGUCGUGAGAUGUUGGGUUAAGUCCCGCAACGAGCGCAACCCUUAUUGUUAGUUGCCAUCAUUCAGUUGGGCACUCUAGCCAAAACUGCCGGUGACAAACCGGAGGAAAGUGGGGGAUGACGUCAAAUCAUCAUGGCCCCUUAUGACCUGG
rnacentral:rRNA from 1 species